CGCUGGCGGCUGCUUUACACAUGCAAGUCGAACGGUAACAGGGAGCUUGCUCCGCUGACGAGUGGCGAACGGGUGAGUAAUAUAUCGGAACGUACCCAAGAGUGGGGGAUAACGUAGCGAAAGUUACGCUAAUACCGCAUACGAUCUAUGGAUGAAAGCAGGGGACCUUCGGGCCUUGUGCUCCUGGAGCGGCCGAUAUUUGAUUAGCUAGUUGGUGAGGUAAAGGCUCACCAAGGCGACGAUCAGUAGCUGGUCUGAGAGGACGACCAGCCACACUGGAACUGAGACACGGUCCAGACUCCUACGGGAGGCAGCAGUGGGGAAUUUUGGACAAUGGGCGCAAGCCUGAUCCAGCAAUGCCGCGUGAGUGAAGAAGGCCUUCGGGUUGUAAAGCUCUUUUGUCAGGGAAGAAACGGGAUUGGCUAAUAUCCAGUCCUAAUGACGGUACCUGAAGAAUAAGCACCGGCUAACUACGUGCCAGCAGCCGCGGUAAUACGUAGGGUGCAAGCGUUAAUCGGAAUUACUGGGCGUAAAGCGUGCGCAGGCGGUUUUGUAAGUCUGUCGUGAAAUCCCCGGGCUCAACCUGGGAAUUGCGAUGGAGACUGCAAGGCUAGAAUCUGGCAGAGGGGGGUAGAAUUCCACGUGUAGCAGUGAAAUGCGUAGAGAUGUGGAGGAACACCGAUGGCGAAGGCAGCCCCCUGGGUCAAGAUUGACGCUCAUGCACGAAAGCGUGGGGAGCAAACAGGAUUAGAUACCCUGGUAGUCCACGCCCUAAACGAUGUCUACUAGUUGUCGGGUUUUACUUAACUUGGUAACGCAGCUAGCGCGUGAA
rnacentral:rRNA from 1 species